rnacentral:ncRNA from 1 species
CGGACCGGGCCCAAGUCCCCUGGAAAGGGGCGCCUGGGAGGGUGAGAGCCCCGUCCGGCCCGGACCCUGUCGCCCCACGAGGCGCGGCACACGAGUCGGGUUGUUUGGGAAUGCAGCCCAAAUCGGGCGGUAGACUCCGUCCAAGGCUAAAUACAGGCGAGAGACCGAUAGCGAACAAGUACCGCGAGGGAAAGAUGAAAAGGACUUUGAAAAGAGAGUCAA